UACCCAAUCAAGCCUCGCUUGGUGUUGGAGCUCGUCGUGUACGGCUCUCAAAUGCAAUAGCAGUCUAAACAGGACCCUAAGCAUAGUAAACUUUCUUGCUUUUGGGCUCGGUGGUGGCUUGCCGAAACCUAAAUUUUUAA
rnacentral:misc_RNA from 1 species